rnacentral:misc_RNA from 1 species
CGCACAUUGCGCCCCUUGGUAUUCCAUGGGGCAUGCCUGUUCGAGCGUCAUCUGCACCUUCAAGCUCUGCUUGGUGUUGGGCGUCUUGUCUCUGCUCUGCGCAGAGACUCGCCUUGAAUCUAUUGGCAGCCGUGACUUGGUGGUGAGCGCAGCACAUUUUGCGCACUCCGCCGGCCUUGCGGCGUCCAUAAAGCACAUUCUACGGUUUGACCUCGGAUCAGGUAGGGAUACCCGCUGAACUUAA